rnacentral:lncRNA from 1 species
AAUUCCAAGCAGGCUGGGGCUUGUUGGGGAUUACCGGCACUGCCCGCCCAGGAGACGCGGAUGCGGCCUCUACAGGUUGGGAAACCCGGUUCUGGGCAGUGCAGUUUGGGAUUGCAAAAUGCUGCAAGUUCCAGAAUUUCUAUCUAGGUGGGGCAUGGGGACUGCGGUACUGGGGAAAAGGAACUGCUAUUGAGAUUUUAUAUUUGGGGCGCUUUGAGAAGCGGCUGACACCUUGCAAGCCACCGGGUUGUGCAGCUCCUUGCUCUCAGGAGCUGGGGGACGGGGGUCCUGGUGCCUGACAGCUUGGAGGCCUGGAGCUGGAGGAAUUUCUCUUCUCUAUCUUCCCACUAUCAGUGCUGAUUUUUUCAGCCUGCGUGCAGAUUUGGUAGAACUGGUUACUGAAGAGAUAGAAGGGGAUAGAAGCCCUGAGCCAGGCCUCACAGCUGCCAACCCUUGGAGAGGGGUGAUAAAUCCACUGGGAAUUUUCAUUCCAAAACAUGGCUUCAGGCUCACUUUGGAUCUCAAAAUCAAUCUCUCCACUGGGACAUCCCCAGUGUGUGGGAGAUAAGUACCCUACCCCCCUGAAGACCAGAAAUAGCCUUGAGGACAGAAGGGAGACUCCCAGAGAACACUAAAUGCAGACUUGCUCCUCCAUAAGACCUAAACCUGUCUCCCAGUCCCCACCCUUAGAGAAGGCUUUUAGAGACCAGAAUCUGCACUGCACUUUGUUUUUCUUGUGGAAUUUCCUUCAGGAAGCCCAGACUCUGAGCUGAGAAGACAAAAGCUCCAGUUCCAUCCUUGUGGAAAGUCUUGGGACUGAGGGGCAAGAAGAGCCCCAGAGAUGGGUUGCUCUGUGCCUUCCAGUUACUGAGAACCUGGUCUUCAGAACAGAAGUCAAUGCACUGUUAGCUUCAACGCUAUUUUAGGGGUGGGAAGAGGAGAUCUUGCUGAGAACUGAGGAUGCUGGAGUCAGGGAAGCAGAGAAGGUUGGCGGGGGUGACAGAUAAUGCCUGGCACAAUGAUACCUUGGGAUUUGAGAUGAUCAAGCUGAGAUCCAGCUCCCUCUUGUGUGUGGACUCCUGCGAGAGCAGAGCAACUGCCCCCACCCCUGCCCCCACCUGUCUGCCUUGCUCCUUGGACCUGUGUCUAAGACCAGAGGCAUCUCACCCAGCCCAGUUUCAGAAGGAGGAUGCUAAUACAUCUCAUGGUCAUCUUUUCCAUCCUUUCUUAUUAUCUAACUUCCCUCCUUCAGUUUGUAACAUAAAACCUUUUUUCUCUCUACUUUUGAAAAUUUUAAAGGGGAAUCCUUUUCAUUUGGAUGGGGUCGGGGGAUGGGGAUAAGGGGGGAGAAAAGCAUAAUUUUAUUUUCACUCACCCUAACUGAAAUUUAGUGUUUUCUGUGAUUAUGAAUGUUGGCAACAAUUCAUGAUAGUAUUAGCAAAAAGUUUCCUACUACACUACAGUUAUUUCUGGUACCUUGAAAAUCUAUUGGCCGGGCACGGUGGCUCAUGCCUGUAAUUCCAGCACUUUGGGAGGCCGAGAUGGGAGGAUCAACUGAGGUCAGGAGUUGGAGACCGUUCUGGCUAACAUGGUGAAAUCCCGUUUCUGUUAAAAAUACAAAAAAUUAGCCGGGCAUAGUGAUGCACGCUUGUAAGCAUCUCAAAAAAAAAGGAAAUAAUUCAUCUGUAUUUUGGCAUUAAGCUAAUAAUUAGAUUUACCACUAGAUCUUACUAUUUAAUGUAUUAAUAAAGAAUGACAUAUUACUA